GACGAACGCUGGCGGCGUGCUUAACACAUGCAAGUCGAACGAAAAGACGGAAAGAGCUUGCUCUUUUCAGAAUUGAGUGGCAAACGGGUGAGUAACACGUAAACAACCUGCCUUCAGGGAUGGGGACAACAGACGGAAACGACUGCUAAUACCGAAUAAGUUCCAAGAGCCGCAUGGCCCAUGGAAGAAAAGGUGGGCCUCUACCUGUAAGCUAUCGCCUGAAGAGGGGUUUGCGUCUGAUUAGCUGGUUGGAGGGGUAACGGCCCACCAAGGCGACGAUCAGUAGCCGGUCUGAGAGGAUGAACGGCCACACUGGAACUGAGACACGGUCCAGACUCCUACGGGAGGCAGCAGUGGGAAUCUUCCGCAAUGGGCGAAAGCCUGACGGAGCAACGCCGCGUGAGUGAUGAC
rnacentral:rRNA from 1 species